UACGUAGGGGGCAAGCGUUAUCCGGAAUUAUUGGGCGUAAAGAGUGCGUAGGUGGUUUGAUAAGCGCAUAGGUGAAAGGCUACAGCUCAACUGUAGUAAGCCUUGCGAACUGUCAAACUUGAGUGCAGGAGAGGAGAGUGGAAUUCCUAGUGUAGCGGUGAAAUGCGUAGAGAUUAGGAGGAACACCAGUGGCGAAGGCGACUCUCUGGACUGUAACUGACAAUGAGGCACGAAAGAGUGGGGAGCGAACAGG
rnacentral:rRNA from 1 species